GAAAAGUGCAAGUGACAAGACUUCUCUUUCAAGAAGUUAAAUGACAAAAGGAAAGGAGAUGGGGAGAAAGGUGACUUGAGGAAGGGAUACUGCAUGCCUGAACAUCAGACAAAUGAGCUCUGAAGAGGCAAGCCAUGGUUCCUGUCCUCCAGAAGGUCACCAUCAGAUGGGAUGUCCUGAAAGCUUCCGCUCAUUCCAACAUUUUGGCACAUUUGAGUGCUCAGAACAUUAACUGAACCAACCCUCACAAUCUCUAUGCUUCAUUAGGAGAAGGAGGAAUUCAAGAUGCCUGAGAGUUUGCAGCAGCUAAAAGGUUCUGAAGAACUUGCUGCUUAUAUCAUACCGACAUCCUGCACCCAAGGUCAAGGGCUGUGUUGGACACCUCCUUACACCAGCUGAGGCCAAGGACAAUCACCUUCACUUUGGAAAUGGGUUUAAAGAAAUACUUCUCACUCUAGCUUAGUAAAACGCAUGUAGUCCUAAACUUUAAGGAUUAAUUUUCUAGAAAACUAAAGCACACCCCAUUAAGCAACCAAAAUGUCCCCGUUCAUAUUUUUUAUGGAACUUGUGCUAGCAGGUGUUUCUCAAGUUACCUGGAGAAAAACCAAACCCUCACCACCUACUGACCCUGGCUGCGUGCGAGGCCCUAUGCUAAAUGCUUCCCUACAGGACUUCAUUAAACUGCCUCACGCCAAUUCUCUGCAGAAGAAGGGACAGGGACCAAGGAGGUUUAAAGGAUGUGAUGAUGUCACCCAGCUGGUAAGGAGUAGCGCCCACAGUGCACCUUGCGCCACAUCACCUCCUUAAAGAUAGCUAAUCUUUUUUUUGUUUCUUUUUUAACAUUUCUGAGUCACUGUUGGGGCAGAAAGGCAUAGUGGUUAAAAACAUAGACUCUGGAACCAGACUGCCUGGAUUCAGAUCGGGGCUGGUUCCACCGCUUACCAGCUGUGUGACACUAAGAUGUUAUUCAACCACUCUGUGCAUCAAUUACCUCAUCUGGAAAAAGUGGAAAUAAUAACAGAAUGUACCUGAGAGGUUGCUGUGAGAAUUAAAUGGGUCAAUCCAUGAAAAAUGUUAAUUCAUGUAAAAUGCCUAGAACUGUACCUGAUAUAUAGUAAACACUAGGUAAAUGUUAGCUCUUAUCAUUAAAAGCAAGUGUUAGAACAAUGAAACCCCACGGAUCACCAAGGUUCUCAUAGCGAACCCACCCUCAGGGAACCAAGACUGAGUUCACCCACACACAGUCACACACACACACACCUUUUUGUGUAUCUCCCAUGUGCCAAAGACAUUAUGCACACAACAAUGCAUUUCAGUCUCGAAAUAAAACAUAACAAAAUUCCUGCAAGAGAGUCAGUACCCUUCCUUUAUCAAUAAGGAAAAUGGUUAAAUAAUUCGCCCAAGGCUCUCAAGUAGGAAGUAGCAGAAUCAGGAUUGGAAUUUGAGAGUUUCUGUCUCAAAAGCCCAAGUUCUUUUAUCUACACAAUGUUAUCUUCAGUUCUUAUGUCUAC